GUAAUUCGUGGAAUUGAACUUUGUAUAUUGAUGAAUAUUGUGAAUACAAUCUUUAGUAUUUACUCAUUUGAUGUUUUCUCUUGAAUACAAGUUAAAACUUAGAAAUUCUUGAUAUUCAAUCUUGAGGAUGUUAUAGUUGCAAGUCGAUUUGAACUUCAAUCUUCUGAAAUUCAAGGAAAGUUUAGUCUUCAAUCUUUCAGAAGUUGUUGAUCUCGAUGAUACGAACUUACACGUCUUGACAGCUUGUAGAAGUUUUAAUUGUUUCAGUACUCCAUAGCUUCAAUUCUUC
rnacentral:lncRNA from 1 species